UAGAAAUUGGAUGUCUCUUGUGGAUGUGCUAACCAGCUACUGUGAAGGAGUAAUUAUUGGCUGCUCAGAUGAAAUUGAGACCCUUUCUGUGUUUGAAUCAUUUCGACGCUUUUCACAGCGCUGGAUACCUGAUCCGCAUUGCUACCUGGGAAAUAAUGGUGUUAUUACAAACUUCGAAGAAGGUUUACAAUUCUUAGUUUCUGAAGUUCUGGCGUGGACUGAAACUGAGUUUUUCGAUACAAUCAAAAAAAUUCGCGAAGCAAGUGAUGAAACUGAUGUGCCUCAAAUUAAAUGCCUGG